rnacentral:rRNA from 1 species
GAGGGGCAGCGGGGGCGAAGCUUGCUUCGCCUGCCGGCGACCGGCGCACGGGUGAGUAACACGUAUGCGACCUGCCCCCCGCAGGGGGAUAACCGGGAGAAAUCCCGACUAAUACCGCGUAACGCCGCUGGGCUGCAUGGCCCGGCGGCCAAAGGAAGCGAUUCCGGCGGGGGAUGGGCAUGCGGCGCAUUAGCUAGUCGGCGGGGUAACGGCCCACCGAGGCGACGAUGCGUAGGGGUUCUGAGAGGAAGGUCCCCCACACUGGUACUGAGACACGGACCAGACUCCUACGGGAGGCAGCAGUGAGGAAUAUUGGUCAAUGGGCGGGAGCCUGAACCAGCCAAGUCGCGUGAGGGAAGACGGUCCUACGGAUUGUAAACCUCUUUUGCCGGGGAGCAACGGGGUCCUUGCGAGGGCCCGAUGAGAGUACCCGGAGAAAAAGCAUCGGCUAACUCCGUGCCAGCAGCCGCGGUAAUACGGAGGAUGCGAGCGUUAUCCGGAUUUAUUGGGUUUAAAGGGUGCGUAGGCGGGCUGUUAAGUCAGCGGUCAAAUGUCGGGGCUCAACCCCGGCCUGCCGUCGAAACUGGCGGCCUCGAGUGGGCGAGAAGUAUGCGGAAUGCGUGGUGUAGCGGUGAAAUGCAUAGAUAUCACGCAGAACUCCGGUUGGGAAGGCAGCAUACCGGCGCCCGACUGACGUUGAGGCACGAAAGCGUGGGUAUCGAACAGGAUUAGAUACCCUGGUAGUCCACGCAGUAAACGAUGAAUGCUAGCUGUCCGGUUCUACGGGACUGGGUGGCACAGCGAAAGCAUUAAGCAUUCCACCUGGGGAGUACGCCGGCAACGGUGAAACUCAAAGGAAUUGACGGGGGCCCGCACAAGCGGAGGAACAUGUGGUUUAAUUCGAUGAUACGCGAGGAACCUUACCCGGGCUCAAACGCCAAAGGACAGCCGUUGAAAGGCGGCCUCCCUCCGGGGUCUUUGGCGAGGUGCUGCAUGGUUGUCGUCAGCUCGUGCCGUGAGGUGUCGGCUUAAGUGCCAUAACGAGCGCAACCCCCAUCGACAGUUGCUAACGGGUAGAGCCGAGGACUCUGUCGAGACUGCCGGCGCAAGCUGCGAGGAAGGCGGGGAUGACGUCAAAUCAGCACGGCCCUUACGUCCGGGGCGACACACGUGUUACAAUGGCCGGUACAGCGGGAUGCCAGGGCGCGAGCCCGAGCGGAACCCGAAAACCGGUCUCAGUUCGGAUUGGAGUCUGCAACCCGACUCCAUGAAGCUGGAUUCGCUAGUAAUCGCGCAUCAGCC